UCCGUAGGUGAACCUGCGGAAGGAUCAUUACCGAGUGCGGGCCCUCGGGGCCACCUCCCACCCGUGUUGCCCGAACCUAUGUUGCCUCGGCGGGCCCCGCGCCCGCCGACGGCCCCCCUGAACGCUGUCUGAAGUUGCAGUCUGAGACCUAUAACGAAAUUAGUUAAAACUUUCAACAACGGAUCUCUUGGUUCCGGCAUCGAUGAAGAACGCAGCGAAAUGCGAUAACUAAUGUGAAUUGCAGAAUUCAGUGAAUCAUCGAGUCUUUGAACGCACAUUGCGCCCUCUGGUAUUCCGGAGGGCAUGCCUGUCCGAGCGUCAUUGCUGCCCUCAAGCCCGGCUUGUGUGUUGGGCCCCGUCCCCCCCGCCGGGGGGACGGGCCCGAAAGGCAGCGGCGGCACCGCGUCCGGUCCUCGAGCGUAUGGGGCUUCGUCACCCGCUCUAGUAGGCCCGGCCGGCGCCAGCCGACCCCCAACCUUUAAUUAUCUCAGGUGACCUCGGAUCAGGUAGGGAUACCCGCUGAACUUAAGCAUAUCAAUAAGCGGAGGAA
rnacentral:rRNA from 1 species